CUAGCGUUGUUCGGAAUCACUGGGCGUAAAGCGUGCGUAGGCGGUGACUCAAGUCAGAGGUGAAAGCCUGGAGCUCAACUCCAGAACUGCCUUUGAAACUAGGUCGCUAGAACAUCGGAGAGGUGAGUGGAAUUCCGAGUGUAGAGGUGAAAUUCGUAGAUAUUCGGAAGAACACCAGUGGCGAAGGCGGCUCACUGGACGAUUGUUGACGCUGAGGCACGAAAGCGUGGGGAGCAAAACAGGAUUAGAUACCCUGGUAGUCCACGCCGUAAACGAUGAUAACUAGCUGCCGGGGCACUUGGUGUUUCGGUGGCGCAGCUAACGCAUUAAGUUAUCCGCCUGGGGAGUACGGUCGCAAGAUUAAAACUCAAAGGAAUUGACGGGGGCCUGCACAAGCGGUGGAGCAUGUGGUUUAAUUCGAAGCAACGCGCAGAACCUUACCAGCGUUUGACAUCCUGAUCGCGGAUAGUGGAGACACUUUCCUUCAGUUCGGCUGGAUCAGUGACAGGUG
rnacentral:rRNA from 1 species